GACGAACGCUGGCGGCGUGCUUAACACAUGCAAGUCGAACGGAAAGGCCCUGCUUUUGUGGGGUGCUCGAGUGGCGAACGGGUGAGUAACACGUGAGUAACCUGCCCUUGACUUUGGGAUAACUUCAGGAAACUGGGGCUAAUACCGGAUAGGAGCUCCUGCUGCAUGGUGGGGGUCGGACAGUUUCGGCGGUUGGGGAUGGACUCGCGGCUUAUCAGCUUGUUGGUGGGGUAGUGGCUUACCGAGGCUUUGACGGGUAGCCGGCCUGAGAGGGUGGCCGGCCACAUGGGGACUGAGAUACGGCCCAGACUCCUACGGGAGGCAGCAGUGGGGAAUAUUGCACAAUGGGCGGAAGCCUGAUGCAGCAACGCCGCGUGCGGGAUGACGGCCUUCGGGUUGUAAACCGCUUUCGCCUGUGACGAAGCGUGAGUGACGGUAAUGGGUAAAGAAGCACCGGCUAACUACGUG
rnacentral:rRNA from 1 species